rnacentral:rRNA from 1 species
CCUACGGGAGGCUGCAGUGGGGAAUAUUGGACAAUGGGGGCAACCCUGAUCCAGCCAUGCCGCGUGUGUGAAGAAGGCCCUCGGGUUGUAAAGCACUUUCAGUGAGGAAGAACGCCUGGUGGUUAAUACCCAUCAGGAAAGACAUCACUCACAGAAGAAGCACCGGCUAACUCCGUGCCAGCAGCCGCGGUAAUACGGAGGGUGCGAGCGUUAAUCGGAAUUACUGGGCGUAUAGCGCGCGUAGGUGGCUUGAUAAGCCGGUUGUGAAAGCCCCGGGCUCAACCUGGGAACGGCAUCCGGAACUGUCAAGCUAGAGUGCAGGAGAGGAAGGUAGAAUUCCCGGUGUAGCGGUGAAAUGCGUAGAGAUCGGGAGGAAUACCAGUGGCGAAGGCGGCCUUCUGGACUGACACUGACACUGAGGUGCGAAAGCGUGGGUAGCAAACAGGAUUAGAUACCCUGGUAGUC